GUUUACUUUACUCAACAGCUAGAGCACGGCACUAGCAAUGUCAAGGUUAUGGGUUCAAGUCCCAGUGUAAACA
rnacentral:tRNA from 1 species